rnacentral:rRNA from 1 species
GAUGAACGCUGGCGGCGUGCCUAAUACAUGCAAGUCGAGCGAACAGACGAGGAGCUUGCUCCUCUGACGUUAGCGGCGGACGGGUGAGUAACACGUGGAUAACCUACCUAUAAGACUGGGAUAACUUCGGGAAACCGGAGCUAAUACCGGAUAAUAUAUUGAACCGCAUGGUUCAAUAGUGAAAGACGGUUUUGCUGUCACUUAUAGAUGGAUCCGCGCCGCAUUAGCUAGUUGGUAAGGUAACGGCUUACCAAGGCAACGAUGCGUAGCCGACCUGAGAGGGUGAUCGGCCACACUGGAGCUGAGACACGGUCCAGACUCCUACGGGAGGCAGCAGUAGGGAAUCUUCCGCAAUGGGCGAAAGCCUGACGGAGCAACGUCGCGUGAGUGAUGAAGGUCUUCGGAUCGUAAAACUCUGUUAUUAGGGAAGAACAAAUGUGUAAGUAACUAUGCACGUCUUGACGGUACCUAAUCAGAAAGCCACGGCUAACUACGUG